rnacentral:lncRNA from 1 species
CGGAAUAUACUGACGGACACAUUCCGUCGGAAUUCCAAUUUGCCCGGGAGAACCAAACCGCGUGAAAAUUUUCGUGAAUCGCCAAUUGAUAUAUUUUUAAUUAUACCGAAGGAAUACCGACGAACCCGUGUCCGUCGGAAACUUUAGAUAUAAUAACCCUUCUUUUUCCUUCGUCGUUAUUUCCGCCUCUCUCUCUCAAACA